UUUGCACUCUUCCCCAACCUCCCACUCAAUCUUUUCACCAGCAAGAAAAUCCACCCCUCCCUCUGUUCUACCAGCGGGCCCCGCCUCCUCCUCCAGGAAGCUUCCCGGGUUCAAUUCCAAGCCUUGCCCGUUCUUUAGCUCAGCCUUGGCACUCUAUAUCCCCAAUCACACUAUUCUGCCCUUUCCUGUGAAGACGGUAGUGGCCUCACUGCAGAACCCAGGCUUCUGGGAGGGGCGGGGGGGCAGAGAGAACCCCUUACUAAGAUUUCAGGGCCAAUGUGGGUUCAGCUUCAAGAAACCUAAUCCAUCCUGAAUUACUGUCUCUCCCUAAUGGGAACUAAUGAGUUGCAUGUGUUGGUAGCUUGUUGUGUAAAUGGGGUGUUUGUUCUAAAACCUGGCACCGCCUCCUGCCUACAGCAAUUCUGGGAUUGGUGGUGAGCCUGGCAGGGGUCACCUGGUCAUUCAUUCCCCUUGGGACUCAGGAUAAAUCUGGUCAUACCGAAGACAGGCCAGAGGGCCCACACCACGACCCUGCGCGCUUAGCUCCUUCCAGGAGUGAUCUCAGGCAAGCCACCUUGUUUCUUUGGGCUUUGGUAUCCCCAUCUAUAAAUACUAAAGGAAGGGGAAAUGAGCCAUAAUAGAGAGUGACAGAAUCAGCUCUGGGCUCCAGCCUGUGUACAUUCUAGAACCGUGUGAGGCAUCUCUUCAGGAGCACAUUCCAGGCUAGAGUGUGGAAAGGCGUGGGGACCUGAGAGACCUCUCCCGGGAGCCCUUCUCCUCCUGCUUCCCCCAGAUGGUUAACUCAUCUACCCACCCACCCACCCAGAGAGGAACCACGGAAAACCAGUCCGCAGGCAGGGCCCAGGGUCAGACCUGGACGUUCAGAGAUUAUUUGAGCUGGUGGCCAGCUGGUUGCUGGGACCCUGAGCUAUGACAGGUCAGUGCUCAAAGUCUGCCCCUCUUCUGAGCCUUGAGAAGAAAACAGUGCCCACCUCACGGCUGCGACCAGCCCUUCUCCAUCCCCAGUUUCCUCACCCAUGGGCUGCUACUGUUAGACCCUGGAAUAAACUACUUUGCCUUUCCGGG